rnacentral:lncRNA from 1 species
GUUAUGUUCGAAUCAAGUCAAAACCGAAUCAUAUUAAUAAUUUGAUGGCUUCAAAUUAAAUUCAAAUCGGAUUCUAAUGAUUCGUUCUAGUUUCUAAAAUAUGGAAUCGGACACAUUCGUUCUGUUUCGAUUCCGAAUCGACUAAAGAAAAAAACAAAACCUAAAUACCCUUACAAAUAAUGAAUUGAUCCCUUUCAACAGUUUAAUAAGUGAUCAUAAUAAGG